CGCAGCUGCUCCGUGCCAGGCUUGGAGGACCAGGAGAAGGGGUAGUCACUUGCCACAGCUGGAGGCUGGAGCGUGUGGCACCACGGCUCGCCUCGCUGUGGUGGGUGCUGGCGACAGAGACGGCAGCUCGGCUGGACUGCUCUGUUUUUACCCUUUCUCCGGGCUGUUAUUGUCAUACAAAUUACAUCUUUAUACAUGUUGUGCUGAACAACAAGUCGAUUUGUAGGUGUUUCUUUGUGAAGUUAUCCUCUAAAUCAGGUAAAAAAACUGAGGCUUAGAAACAUUGAAAAAAACUUGCUCAACGUUGCAAAACAAGAAAUUUGUGACACUGGAAUUGACAUCUACAAGGGACUGAUGUAACUAAUUGCUGGAUACAUGUCCCUCAAAGACACAGAAACAGAUCUUGUAUUCUAGUGGAUCUCCGGCACCCAGUGAGGGCCUGAAACAGAGUACAUGUCCAACAAAUAAUUAUUGAAGUAAAGAUUGACAUUUCAGGAGCAGAGAUUAAUAUUCAAAAACAAAGAUGAGAAUUUUGGCAGAAAAGUCAAAAUGAGGUUCCAACGUGGCUCAACAUGGCAGUUGCUGAUCCUGACUUUGCUUAAAAUUUGUCCAGGAAAUGUAUUUGUGGGCCAUCCUACAGAAGUUAUAAUGAAUGGAAAAACGUGAAGAACCUUCUAUUCUCCCAAGGAUAUCGUGAGGGAAUCGUCACUGUAUCUGGAAGCCAGAUGCCAAAGAUGUUCAGUUAUUAUCAAUGUAUCUAUGCAUAAAGGAUUGAAAAUGAUUCUUCAUGCCAUAAUUUAUCUAAAUAUUCAUUCCUUUGGAACACUGUUUUCCACCAAUAGUAACAAGACUUGGAACAAAAUAAAAUAGCAAUAUCAUGUGCAU
rnacentral:lncRNA from 1 species